rnacentral:rRNA from 1 species
AGAGUUUGAUCAUGGCUCAGGAUGAACGCUGGCGGUCUGCUUAACACAUGCAAGUCGAACGGGCUCUUUCGGGAGCUAGUGGCGGACGGGUGAGUAACGCGUGAGAAUCUGCCAAAAGGACUGGGACAACCACUGGAAACGGUGGCUAAUACCGGAUGAGCCGCAACGUAAAAGAGGAAACCCGCCUUUUGAGGAGCUCGCGUCUGAUUAGCUAGUUGGUGAGGUAAGAGCUCACCAAGGCAUCGAUCAGUAGCUGGUCUGAGAGGAUGAUCAGCCACACUGGGACUGAGACACGGCCCAGACUCCUACGGGAGGCAGCAGUGGGGAAUUUUCCGCAAUGGGCGAAAGCCUGACGGAGCAAGACCGCGUGAGGGAGGAAGGCUCUUGGGUUGUAAACCUCUUUUGUCAGGGAAGAACACAAUGACGGUACCUGAAGAAUCAGCAUCGGCUAACUCCGUGCCAGCAGCCGCGGUAAUACGGGGGAUGCAAGCGUUAUCCGGAAUUAUUGGGCGUAAAGCGUCCGCAGGUGGCUAAUCAAGUCUGCUGUCAAAGACCGGGGCUUAACUUCGGAAAGGCAGUGGAAACUGAACAGCUAGAGUAUGGUAGGGGCAGAGGGAAUUCCUGGUGUAGCGGUGAAAUGCGUAGAGAUCAGGAAGAACAUCGGUGGCGAAGGCGCUCUGCUGGACCAUAACUGACACUCAGGGACGAGAGCUAGGGGAGCGAAUGGGAUUAGAUACCCCCGUAGUCC